ACGGAAUUGAAUGGGAGCAUAUCUCUCUGUCCAUGUCUUUAUAGGUAUUUGCAUAAAGGAUUUAUCAUUUUUGAUGAGUAAGGAAAUCACCCAAACAUUCUCUGGUAUGGAUAUGAGAACAUUUGUUUUAAUUAUAAAAAAUAAAUAAGUCCUUAAGAUGUAUAUUUUUUGUUAUUAAAAAUAGACCCUUAUAUUUCUCUCAUUCUUUUUUUUAUCCUUACCUGAGGACAUUUUUUCAUUGCUUCUAGAGAGAGAGGAAGGGGGACAGAGAGAGAAACCACGCAAGAGAGAAGCAUCAUUGGUUGCCUCACACAGGCACCUGGACCAGGCAUUGUAGGUGCCCAGACAGGGACGGGACCUGCAACCUGGGUAGGUGCCCUGGCUGGGAAUCAAACCUGCAGCCUUUUGGUUAUGGGAUGACGCUUCAACCAACUGAGCCACACCAACCAGUGUUCUUUCUCUCAUUCUUAAUGAAUGUAUUAAGGUUACACAAAUACUAAUGAUGUAGUAUGUAUGCAUUUAUAAGGAAAUUCACUUGUAUUAAGUUAGAUACUCUGGACUAGUAUAAAUUGGAUGCUCCUGACUAGCGAUUUGAAUUAAGGUUACAUUAUUUUACUGUGAUUUGGUCCUUCACCGCAUGUCUCUAUGUCUAGCAUGUCCACAUCUCACAGCUGUGAUAGCCAGAAUGUUCCAAGUAGCCAUCUCUUCCCAAAACUUACUCCUCUUACAUACUGCUAAAAGUGCCAGCUGGGGAUGCAUUGUCUGCGUCUCUGUACUUUUUUAAAUUAUCUGAAACAUUUGAUCAUAAAAUCAAAACCAGGAACAAAAAAGUUCUACUUGUUAGCUCCGUUCUUGAUGUGCUCUGUGCUCCUUUGAAUAAAGGAAGUCAAAGUAGUUUCUAAAUCACAGGCCAGUUUUGACUAUUCUGAAAUUUGAUUACUUAGUUUUGCAUUGGUUUUAGGCUUUUUUGCUGAUUAUGUGAACCAGACUCCCCACUGAACCUCCCCGGUGACCUAGGCCAAUGUACAGAGCUGGGGGCUGGGGGCUGGGAACUUCAAUUCCCUCUGUGGCUUUCGACAAUUACCUAACUUUCCUGUAUUUCCUCAUUGACACCAAUGGGAUAAUCGCCUUUCAUACCUAGUAGGAGUAUUAUGAGAUUAAUUAAUGUUUGUGAAGUGUUUCUAGGAUCAUGAUGAAAGGUAUUAAUUUGUAAGCAUGUGGUAUUAUUAUAAUUAUUAGUAGUAAUAGGGAUGGUUGUUUAAUGCAAAUUUUCAUCUAAGUGUAGUGUCAUAUUUUCAAAGGACAUUCUUUUUCUUUGUGGCCAGAUGUGGAUACAAUUAACCCUUUACCCUUUAUUUUGAAGAUACAAUUAGCCAAUUGUGUAUGCAAUUAGACGUGUAUGCAGUUUUUGCCAGAACAACUAAUUACAGCCUUGGUAAAAGGUCCUUUUGAAAACGCUGGCCCUUUGAAUCUGGACUGUCCCUAUCUCUGUAAUAAGCAAUUUGUGCUGAGCAUAUUUGGGGGCCGGGGAGUCUCUUGAAUAUUGAAGAAUUGCUUUUGCGGUUACUGGAGGGUUUUACUUUCUUGAAGCUCUAGCUUUGUGUUUUGCCAUCAAGCCUAAAAAGCCUUUCACAUAGUUUUGGUUUCAAAGGUUUUAUUGAUUUUUUUUAAUCUUGACAUUCAGCUGAAAGAUUUUCCACAGACUGCAUUUUGUGAAACAGGUUUUUCUUUUGUAAUUUUUUUUUCUCCCUUGAAAACUCCAUUUCCUUUCUGUCUCUGAUCCAAACAUAGCAUCUCCUAUUCCCCUUACUAAAUAGCGAGUAAGGAACGGAUUAGUACUGAUCCUCUCUUCCCAGAUAUGGUCUCGUGACACCAUUUUACAGGGGCCUUUUAAUCACUGUAAUGUACAUUCUGUUUAUGCAGAAGAGUAGAAAGAACACUGAAGGGGCAGGAAGAUAUGGUUGUAUCCAUUUGUCUCCACUGAUAUCCUGUUAUUAAGUGACAAGGAAAUGUUCAUGGCUUUUAAUAGUAAAGUUUAAAAGCAGCCUCUUUUAAGAUGUCUUUACUCUUUAACACUUCCCAGCACUGAUAAUCCUUGAACUUGACUUUGUGGAAGGCACCAUCCCACCACCAUGGGAGACUGAGAGAUGGGCCAAGCACACUUGUUACCUUCUAGGAGCUUGGAAUAAAUUGGAGAUUAGGAAGGUGCUCGGGUCCUCGGACCGCAGUGAGUACCGUACAAACUGGGUGAGGGUGGUAAUCACAGUGAUGACGGGUGGCAGCAGAAGCUUCUUAUUAACUGCAUUUGAGAGAGGACCAGAAAGACAGGUCAACUUUUGAUAGACAAGAGGGAAUGUUUUUGUGUGAGUAAAGGUCUGAGCUGCUAAAACGGAGGCAAGUUCAGGAAGAGGGAUUGGUUUGGCUGCAGUGGUAGUGACCUUGAAAAGGAAGUGCCAGGAGAUAAGACUGGAAAGGCAGCUUGGAGCCACACUGUGGAGGGCCCAGAAAUGUAAGUAGAAAAGUGUCUACUUCAUUCAGCCGCCAGUAUGAAGCCAAUCUAUGGUUUCAAUAGAGUGACAUGAGCAGAGCCCGGCUUUGAAAUUCGGCAGGCUGCAGCAUGCCACAGGAAGUGCCGUGCGGACGGACUCCAGGAGAGAGGCAUUCAGAGAGGGUGCCGAAACUGAGACCAGAGUCGUCUCUGCAGUGUUAGCACUGGGAGUAAAAAACAGAGUUAUUGCACGCAUGAGGCAAACUGUGGAGUUAGUAUUUCUUGAUAUUGGCAACUGUCCUGACGUAGGGGUGAAGGACUGCAAGGAGCUGGGUCAAGAUGACUGGGAAGAAAGAGGGGUGUACUCUUCAUUGAAAUAGGGAGGUCUGGGGGAGGGGACAGAUGGAAGAGAACGAACUCUUGGGAAUUACCACACCAUGGCGUGUUUCUACACAUGGGCAGAGGCAGCCAGACAGAAGAUUAAUUCUAGCCAUCCAGUGUAAUGUUUCCAGUAAGAACUGUGGAAAAGAAUUACAUUUUCUGUCAAUGACAACAAAAUCAACUUAUGUUGCUGGGCAUCUUAUUAUUAUGGCAAAUAAGAGAAUAUAAUCAGAAGCUUAAAGGAAUUAAAUGCAUUUGUAAGAGUCUAUUAACCUUCACAGUAUGAAAAACUAAUUGGAAAGCUAUACAUAUAUUUCUAAAUGUCCAAAACCUAGCUCUGCGGUCUGCUGAAAGAUAUCUUUGGUGGUUACUUUUUCAAGUUUCUGUUGGAGACACUUGAAAUAAAGAAGCCAGAGCAAAAUAGUAUUCGCCCACCUAAUCUUGGGGAAGUCUGUUCUCUGUCUCCUUCUGUCAAACCCUGGUUUCCAGGGAGAUUCUAUGGAUAAUUUAUCAUGCCAUCAGCCUCAAGAAUGUGGAGCUCUACCCAAGUGUCCCUAACGGCCCUGGGUAAUCUAAUACGAUUCUGUCAUCCAUAAAUUUCCUAUCUUCUUUCCAGCCUCUCUACAUUUUCAGGCUGUGCCAUUUCACUGAACAGUAAAUCUCCUAAUUAAGGGAGAUAUUACCAAUUAUUAAAUGAACUUCUCAACCUUUGUAAAAUGAAAAGUCUGUAAUCCAUAUUGCUAGUUACUCUAUGUACAGAAUUUCAGUUGCCUUUUUCCUCAAGUAAUGAGACAUUGUGGGAAGACUAUAAGCUUUGGAAUAAUAUCUAGUUAUCUUUUCUGUAAAAUGCAAAUAAUGAAAAUGUAUCCAGUUGUUCAGGCUGAAUCUUUGGACUUGUGCUGGCCCCUCUUAUCUCUGAGACCUACCUCCCAGCCUUCAGCAAAUCCUGUGGGCACCACCUUCAGACACCAUUAUUUCUUGCCCUCUUCAUGGCCCGCUGGGUCUAAGCGACCAUUUCUCCUUCCUAGAUUACCGUAGUAGCUUCUUAACUCCUUUCUUCCAUGUUGCUGCUCAGCAGUGUCAGUGUAAUAGUGUCCAAAUGUUCCAUGGUGUUUCCCUGAGUCCUGGUAGGUUCAUUUCCAGGGAAACAUAUCUGCUAAAUUUCAGUGGCUUUUCUAUCCUCCUUUAGUCAAAGAUCUGUCACCCUUUUUUCCUAAAAGUAAAAGAUUAAUUAGAGUCUUUUUUUCUUUCUAAUUUAAGCUGGGAUAAUACCUUGUUAGGAACUGUCAUAGUUUUUAUUACUGUUCCCUAAAUUUUCAAGGCUCUGUUCAUUCAGUCUGCCAGUCUGUCCAAAGCGUGUCUAACGUGUGAAGGAACUCACAAUGUAUUAGAGCAUUAGUGAUCACAGUUCUACCACAGACUAGCUGUUCCAACCUAGAACACCUUCCUGAACCAUUCUGUGCCUAGUGUCCUCUUGAUUUUAGCACAGGAUUAACAAUAACCGUACACACCUCACAGAGCUGUAGACUUAAAUGAGUGAAUACACUUAAACAGCCUAGAUGGACCCUAGCACGUAGUAAGUAAUCAAUGUUCUGGAAGAAUUAUUUGCAAAGGAAAGGGAGGAGGAUUAGUGAAAGCAUGAACAAAAAAAUAAAUAUUGCUGCAGGGAAGUUAAACCUUGCAAGUUUUGUGUUUAGAAAGCAAAGUGCCUCAUUGGAGAAGGUGAGAUUUCAAGAAUGCUUUUGUUUAAGAAGAAAGGUGAUUUGGCCAGUGAAAUGGGACAGCAUUCUGUACACAAGGAAGGGGGAGGAGAAAGUUCAAGCAUGGGAUGAGACUAACAAAUCUAGGGAACAUCUGCACCUGAGAUGAAGAGAGAAGGCAGGGUUUAAGAGGAGGGGGGAAGGUUAUGAUUAUUCGAACCGCCAGUGAAUGCCAAAAACAAAGAGAAUGAACAGACCGAGUCUUUAUCUAAAGCCAAAUGGGGGCUGACAUUCUGAAAGUUUUUACUCACUUUAACACAUGCUAAGCACUGUUCUACUCGUGAACAUUAUUUAAUCCUCAUAGCAAUCCUAUGAAAUAGCUACUGUCAUUGACUUCAUUAUACAGCCAAGGAAACAGAAGGUACAGAACUUGUCCAAGGCUGUUUGUUUAUUAUUAAUAAGCAGGAGACCUUGGAUUUGCAAGAGCUCUAGACUCUGUGCUCUUAACCACUCGGCCCUGCCGCUCCAUGGUAACCAAGCCCGGGUGCGCGCACUUAAUCCUGGAGACACCGGCACGUGGUGAAGCCCUUCACAGAGGCUGGGACUGUGGCAUCAUUACUCACUGAUGCCUGUGCUGUUAUUAAAGUCCCAUUUAGGUUUCAGUAGGCAGCUUCUGUCCACUGCAUAAUGGACCUUUCCGAUCAGCUUUGUCAUAACAGGGUGUGGUUCCUUUUGUUCUCUUCGCAAUCCUAAGAAAGUACUCUGGUGUUUUACUUUCACACCCGUUUAAGACCGCCCUGGCCAGGGAGGCGCUCGCUGACUCCCAGCCUCCCAGCCAUCCGGGAGGGCCUCUGCUCUCCGUAUGGUGGUGCCUGUGGAGAGGGCAGAGCAGUUCCUCCUCUGCGGAUCUCCACUGAGUUUUCCUUUCUUUGACCGUCUUCUCAUUAGCACGUGCACUGCCAUCCUUUCUCCCAACUUAGGAAACAGAAAAUAAAAUCAAGAGAAACCUCACUGGACCCCACAUUCCUUUCAAGCUACUGGCCCGCAUCUCUUUUUCUAUGUUAAGGCAAAAUGUCUUCAAAGAAUCGUCUGUCCUCGGGUCUGUCUUCACUUCCGUCCUUCAAUACCCUUUUACACACACACACCAAGAAGACUUUCUCCGCCAGAUCUCUCUCACCCAGCUCUAACUCGAAUUAGAUCCCCCUGCCUAUGAACAGCUCCGCUUGCAUGUCAGGCACCUGGAAUGACCAGAACUGAAAUACUGAUCUUCCUGCUUAGGCCAAGAACUUGGACUUCAUCCUUGGCGACAGUCUUGCUCUCAUACUCCAUAGCCAUUCCAUCAGUAAAUCCUGUUGGCCUCACCCUGCAAGUCUGCCCCAAACCCAGCCGUUCAUCUCACCUUUAUUGUCACCGCCCUAACCCACAUCACAGCCCUCUGUCUUACCCAGCGGGUCUUCCUGCUUCCUUACCUGGCUGCAAGCCCUCUGCUGCACACUGUCAACAAAGCAACCAAAGUGACCGCUUUAAGACAUCAGUCUGAGUAUAUCUCCUUCGCAACAAUAUUUCUUUUUAUUCCCAUAUGCGACAGUCUAUGGAUGAAUCUCCUGCAUAUAGUGUUGAGUUAAAGAAGCCAGAAACUAAAGUCCAUACCGUAUGAUUACCUUCACUUAAAAUACAAAAAUAGGUAAAACUAACCCUUGCUGUCAGCAGUCAGGGUGGUGAUGGGGCACAGGCACACGCUGAUUGUGACUGAAAGAGCGCCAUAAGGGCCUUUUGAUCUGGGUACUCGUUGCUCACAGGUGUUUAAGUUGGUUAAAAUUUAGCAAGCUGUUAAACUUUUGAUGUUCUUUUUCUGUGUAUAUUUUAUACUUCCAUAAAAAGUUUUAAAAAAAUUACUUCUUACACAGAAAAUCAUUCUUCUCUAGACUUAGAUAAAGAAUUUAUCAGCAUGUAUAACGGUUAUAAUGUAAAUCCUGUGCAGGCAAAAAUCUUGUCUGCUUUCAUCCAGUCAAUAAAUGUUUAUUGAGCACUAGGCACUGACCUGGGCAUUUGGGGAUACGGCAGUGAACAUGAGAGACAAAAACUCCUUGAGCCUCUGAGGGAUUAUAAUCAGAAUAAAUUGUAUAACAUGGAACAAGGCGCCAAGAGCUAUGAGAGGAAAAGAGCAGAGGCGGGGGACAGGGAGUGCUGGAGUGGAAGAGGUGCCAGAGGUGGAGACAGUUUAAAUAAGGCGGCCAGGAAGAGGCCCCACCGAGAAGCUGACAUUGGGGCGCCAACUUGGACGAAGGUGAGGGGAGGAGCCCGGGGUGUAUCAGGGAGCAGAACCGCCUGGGCAGCCGGCCUGGAAGGGAAGGCCCGAGGCAGAAGCCCGCUGGCUGUGCACUGGCAACCGCAAGGAGGCGGCGAGCCUGCAGAGGAGGGAGCCCGACAGACUAGCUGGGGAUCUUGUCACCGAGGGCCUGGGAGGCCUCUGUGGAGACUCCGGCAUUUUAUUCUGCAUGAGACCAGGUUUGGGUGGGAGAGUGAAAUUUUAUUUAGUUUUCAGCCACUUUUAGUGGCAGGUGGUUCGUUCCCAUUGCUGUAAAUAUACUUCAAUGUAUGUAUUCUACGAUAAUGGAUACUUAGGGAGAUUCCACUUCAGGGCUUACAUAGAGUGCCGCUGUGUACAACCCCCCUCGCGUCUUCUGGUAAACUACUGUGUGCAAAAUAUACCAGUUUUAAAGAAAUUGAACAAGGUAUAUCAAUUCCAUGUGUUUGAACAACUUAAGUAAAUUUAGUUCCUAUGAAAGUCAGACAGUGCACCAAUACUCACGGCUCACAUUAGAGGUGAACUCUGCAGGAUGUGUUCGAGUAAGGCAGUCAAGUAUGCAAAGCAGAGAAUACAACGAAAUGUCAACUAGAUGGCUCGCACUCAAGGGCCCUGGUGUCUAGUUGGGGAUAAGAGGUUUGCCUAUGAAACAGCAACUAGCAAGGACACAUACAGGAAAUGCCAAGUAAUAUCCUAGGCAAUUUGCUCCAUAAGCACUUCAAA